rnacentral:rRNA from 1 species
CCUACGGGAGGCAGCAGUGGGGAAUAUUGCGCAAUGGGCGAAAGCCUGACGCAGCGACGCCGCGUGAGGGAUGAAGGUCUUAGGAUCGUAAACCUCUGUCAGCAGGGAAGAACGGUCACUGUGCUAAUCAGCAGUGAAUUGACGGUACCUGCAAAGGAAGCACCGGCUAACUCCGUGCCAGCAGCCGCGGUAAUACGGAGGGUGCGAGCGUUAAUCGGAAUUACUGGGCGUAAAGCGCUCGUAUGCGGUAUGUCAAGUCAAGGGUGAAAUCCCCGCGCUCAACGUGGGAACUGCCUUUGAAACUGGCAAACUGGAGUGUGUGAGAGGAUAGUGGAAUUCCAGGUGUAGGAGUGAAAGCCGUAGAUAUCUGGAGGAACAUCAGUGGCGAAGGCGACUAUCUGGCACAUAACUGACGCUGAGGAGCGAAAGCGUGGGUAGCAAACAGGAUUAGAUACCCGAGUAGUC